rnacentral:rRNA from 1 species
UAAUAGAUAGGAACGUGUCCGGGAGUGGGGGAGUAACUAGCCGAAAGGUUAGCUAAUACCGCAUAUUCUCUACGGAGGAAAGCGGGGAUUCGCAAGAACCUCGCGCUCGCGGAGUGGCCUAUCUCCGAUUAGCUAGUUGGUGAGGUAAAGGCUUACCAAGGCGACGAUCGGCAGCUGGUCUGAGAGGAUGAUCAGCCACACUGGGACUGAGACACGGCCCAG